UCGAACCCAUAACGCUGGGAUCACGCCCUGAGCCAAAGGCAGACGCUUAACCGCUGUGCCACCCAGGCGCCCCUACACUUCUACUUGGCUGUUAAAUAUCACACUUCUAGGCUUAGUUCCUGGCCUUCUAAUCUCACUCCCACCAAUGCCUGGUUUUCAUUACAACCUAAAUACACAGAGAUUAAUCUAUCUCUAGCCCAGAUCUUUCCUCUUGUUUCUUGUCCUAGGAAACCCACUUGCCUCAUUGACACCGCCAUUUGGAAUCUCAAAAGAACCUCAACAGAAACUCAGAUGGCACACUGGAACCUGCAUUUUAUUAUCAAAGUUGAGUCAAAGGCAUUCUUGUCCUCAAGUAAACAAGAGAUAAGAUAACUUGUUUUCCCAGCUUCUUUUGCAACCAGGAUUGGCUAUGUAACCCUCUGAUCAAUGAAACUUGAGGGGAAAUUUGUUCGAAGCUUCUGGGUCAUAUCCUACUAAACUCAUCUCAAGACUAAAAGUCGAGACAGCCUGCCUCUCAUACCUUAAUUAUCAGGUAUGAGAACACCUGUGUCAAAAUAACCGUUUCAGAAAAUUCUUGCUCAAAAAGGUGGAGAGUGAGGUAUUCCAGAGACUACAUGAUGUGUGAUGACAGCACCAUUGCAUGGAUUAAUGGAAUGUGUGAAGCGGAUAUGAAAAGUCGGCUGUCUUCUAUUAAGCCAGACAUUAAAGAGAUUUGCA